CAUUGAAACACCGGUUUCCGUACGAUCACCGAAGUUAAGCAACGUCGAGCCUUGCCAGUACCUAGAUGGGUAACCGCUUGGGAAUACCAGAUUCUGUAA